CGACGCCAAGCUCCGGCAGCCCCGUUCUGCUCCGUGACCCCUCCCCGCACGGCCGGGGGAGGCCGCACCGCCGCUCCCCGAGCGCCCUCUGCUGCCUCUCCGGGGCUGGAGCAGGUGCACGGCCCGGGGCUCUCCGGGGCCGCUCCUCGCCGCCCUGCGGCCAUUUGCAGUGGCCGUAAUACCGCCCUCGUCCCCUCCUCCUCUUUCCCACCCUAUACCCUAAGAGCCAACGAGCGGAUAGCCCGGGUCCUCCCUGACUUCCCCAGGUGCUUUUCCUCGGGUGCUUUGAGGACCGCGGAGCAAACGCCAAAAAAAAAAAAAAAAAAAAAAAAAAAAAAAAGCGAGCUCAAUUCGCAGCUUAGCAUCUUUGAAAGCCUUCUUAGAAGAGAUAGGAUUUCUAAGGGAGGAGCUGAGCGAAGGCCCCUUUGAAAUCACUGACCCAGAUGAAGCGACACCCGAGCCCCUAUGCCCGCUGCAGCCGCUACCGCCACACUGCUCUCCUUUCAGCAGCGUUUUGCUCGGAGGAAAUGAAAGCAUCGGAAAAGGAAACGGGGCUGAAAAGGCUCAGAUCCCAAGCGAGCGGGCUUUUGUUUUCCUAUUGUGCUAGCCCAGCUGAGCCUGUGUUGGAGCAGAGCCCUCCUGCAGCUGGGCCCAAAAACAGCAGCCAAAGAGAAACCCCGGCAACCGGCAGUGCAAAAGGAGAGGGAUGGGCAGAGCCUGCAGAACUCGACCCUGGUGGGGAGGAGAGGCAGAACAGAUCUGCUGGAAGCGUUAAGUAGCGCUCAAUGCAAAAGCAGCACCGGACUCACAGGGAUGCUGAGCUUUGCCAUAUACCUACUGCAGCUGGGUUCAUGGUCCCCUCUUGGGUUCCAUCUGCUUGAGCUGAAGGUGGUGUUGUCCUUUGUGACCAAAAAGGCUGCCUCUGAUGUUGAAGCCGCUGUCAGCCCAGCUGACACAGCAGAGGUGACAGAAACCUUUUCCUCUCACUUGGGUGAUGCUGGAGAAUGACGCCUAAGGACCGUGCCCUUCAGGAACCUUGCUGAGCCUCUCCUGGCCUAACUCUGAAGAGCAUGACAUAACUGAAGCUGGGGACACAGACUCCAGUGCUUAUGGUGAUUUAUUCGUUCCCAGACUGAGGGUUUGUCUCCCCGAAUUCUUACUUUAAUGAGGCUGCGAUCACAGAAUCAUAAGUAUGGCUUGGGUUGGAAGAGACCUCGAAGACCACCCUUCUCAUGGGCAGGAUUGUCACCCACUAGAUCAGGUACUAGAUCAUUACAGAAGGACUCUGCCUGCUAACCCUGCUACUUACCACUGCCACAGCUAGUAACUUUAAGAGCAGAAUGACACUGCUGUUGUUAUUGCCCUGCCAUGCAAAUAUCUGUCUGGGUAAGGGACCCGGCUUUAGUUUUCCAGUCUCAUAGCAUUUGGUGAAUUUUUGGUGGCCCUUCUUCCUGGAUUUGUGUUAUUGCAUGAAUGUUUUUAUUUAUUUUUGGAGAGAGGGCUUUUACGCUGCAUAAUUACUGAGGGGAAAAAGGCUUCAUCCUUAACGGCUCCCCAAAGUAAAUAAAUUAAAAGAACUGGCACUCAAAAAACUUCUCUUUAUGCUAAUGAUAGGAGAGACUGAUGACUUGGGGCCUCUGAACUCCUGGAGUCAAACAACAUCGCUUCCACUUCCUGAAAUGAGUUUUCCUUUAAGGAUCUGCGUGUGUUUUCUCCGGCUGAUUAAGGCUCUACAAUGUUUUAUUCAUGCUCAACCCGGGAUUAUCAGCAGUGUUUUACAUUUCAAACCAACCAUUGCCAAGACUUCCUCAGCUCAGGGAAGCUGUGCUUCCUCAGUGCAGCUCGGGGCUAUUCCUAGAGAAGGUGGCUCAGCUAUUACUGCUUGUUACCCUCGCUCACUAACCUCUGUAAUGAACUGUACAGCCUUUGCUGGCUCGUUUGCCUUUUCUAUGUUGCUUUUUGUUUUUUCUUUCCCUUUUUAACAUUCCCAAAACUCUAUGGCAAGUGAUCAUCUUUGUAUGAGUCAGUGCUGAAGCAGUGAAGUGUCAGAUUUUAUCCAAAGAAGGAGCUGCACGUCGGCGCAGGGUGAAGCAUUUCUUGGGUAUACACGAGUAUCACAAUAGCAACGUUCAGACAUCCACGGCUGGCCAGGCUGUUUCUGCCUGACCCGGGGCCACAUGGAGCUCUAUGGUGACCACUUCCAUUUCCAAAGUGUCACCAUUCCUAUGAGCAAAAAACAUUUCCCUUUUGGUGCAAACCCCGAAGGGACAGAAGGCAGCAAGCUCUGAUCACGGAAGAGAAGGAGCGGUCCAUUGCAUUUGCAAAUCAUAAGGUCCCAACUGCUGAAUCUCACUGAAGUCAGUGGUUGCAACAGCGAAGUAAUUCAGCUGUCUGAGGGAAAUACAUGGAGAAGAGCCCGUGUCUCCAGCUGCAUGGUUACCACACAGCAAAGAGGGUUAUAUAUUAAAAUUGUGAGACUGUUUAAGCGCUCUGUAAUUAACUGCUGUCUAUUUAACCAGACAGCUAAAGCAAGUUAAUUCGCUGUCAGUUAGGAGACUUAUUAAGCAUCUGCAGGUUUUUCUUUUUAACAAUUUACUGGUCCAUCAUUAACUACCCCUAGAUUAUCUUGUCAAAUUGAUAAUUAAAUGCCUCAAAAAUUCAUUACAGACUCAAUAUAUUAAUAGGAAUAUAAUUAAGUAAUGUUUGCUUAUGCGAUCUGCAGUUUAUUACCUGCAUGCUGAUUUAUCUCCAAGGCAUUUACUAAACCUUAGCUGUAGCCUAUUCAGAAUCAAUACAGGCCCAGGAGUCAAUAAACACCGCAUUAGAUGCAAACAAGCUGUUUAAUUGGGAGAACGCAUUGAAGUUGUCUUCUGGAUCUCCUGUGAGUUUGAUAAGGGAGGUGUGAUCUUAGGAGCACCGACCAAAACUCGUGGUUGCUAUUUUAUGGCUGGGUCGGAAUCGUGCCUGAAGAACUGGUCUGAUUUUGUUGCCUGUUUGCACUGGGUUCUGUGGUCUGUAGGAAGCUGCCUAAAUUGGCCUUACUGUGCUAGUAAGUUGGUGCAAGGGUAAAUCAGAGGCUCUAUUUUGUACCAAACGCUGGAGUUGACUUCUCUUGUCCUGCUUAAGAAAGAUGACAGCCGAACCAUUCCCUUACAUUUGUAAACCCUUGAACUCUGCACGUAAGGUGGAUUUUUCAGGAACCUUAAAAGUCACUUCAUUAACUUUAUUAAGUUUGAAUUUCGGGAAACUAAUUUUUUAAAACGGGAGGGGAACAAUGCUUCUUCUGCUCCGAGUAACAGAGAAGAUGGAACAAAACAGCAUAGGCCUGCUGUAUGCAGAAAUUAAGGGAAACCGUGUGCACAGCUGUGCUUCAAGACAUCGGCUUGCAGUUAAGAUACAUUAUCACUGGUUACCAUCUGCCUGCAUUAACCAACCUGCAGCUCGGCUAUCGAUCAAGAUAAUAAACCUGGGGGGAUGUGGCCACCCUUCCUUUGCAGCUGCAUGUGCCUCAUGAUGUUGUGGUGUUGGUGGCAGGAGGUAUCUGGACCCCAGGGUGCACCCGAAGCUGCCAUAGCUGCACCCAUCCACAGAGCCAUCUUGUGGGGGUUUUGCAAGCUAGAGCUCCGGGUUUGGUUUUGUGGCUUUCUUGUUAAUUUUAAAGACUGGGGAGUUCCCGUGAAGAUGGGUUCAAGCUUGUGUGUACGUGUGUAUGAAAUGCAUGAUUUAAGAAUAAAUAGUAAGCUGAAAUAUUUCAAAUCGCAGCAUCACAAACCCCGUAAAGUGGAGAGUUAUAUUGAAAAGAAAUUAUAAACGGUUAAAGUAAAACCAUAGAGUAUCUGAGCUGGGAAGGACCCACAGGGAUCAUCGAAUCCAAGUCCUGGCUCCACACGGGACUACCUAAAAAUUAAACCAUAUCAGAGCAUCGUAGCAGCCCUCUGAGGGACUUGAGCUUCCCUGUGCUGUCCAGUGGUGUUACAAAACAACUGUAUCGUCCUCAAGAAGACAUUUUGGUGCUCUGUGGCCCUGAUUAGGUGAAAUUAAUGUCUUACGUGCUAUAUCGACGUUUAGGUCGUCCUUCUACCCCUUGGGGGUGACUAUUAUUGCUUUGCUGCCCUGCUUUGAGCUACGGUGCCCUUUCCAGGAGGAGGCAGGGGAAAGAAGCUGGCAAUAUAUCAGAUGGUUUUCCUUUUUCUCCACUGUUAAACUGACAUUAAUGACAACCAACCUAUGAUGGAGUGUGUGAAUACAGACCGGAAUCCAAGACAGCUCUGACACGUGACUCAUUUGUGAGCAUAUCUCUGGGGUUUAACUUUUAACUGUGUUUUUUUGGUUGUUUUUUUUUUGCCCAGCUUAGGGCUAAUUCAGCUUUGGGUUUCACUCUCAAAUAUAUUUGGGCUGUUUUCUUUUCAAAACUGGUAUAAAAACUGGCAUUCUACUAUUUGUAUUAUACGAGAGGCUGGCCAGAACCGAGCUGAGCAUUCCUGGAGCAGAGUUCCCAGCAGGCGUGUUUGUGUGUGUGCAGCCCUCAGUGUCUGCCAGGCUCUUCUGUAAAGUGUUUAUAAUACCUAAAAUAAAAAAAAAAUAAUUAAAAAAAAGCAGGAUUUUCAUCUGGAAAACAUGCAGUUCCAGGGAAGCCUUCUUGCUGGAGAAGCAGAUAUGAGGGCAAAACUGGAGCUGGUAUUUACAGGGCGUUUUUCCAUGCGUUCUAUGUGUGCAUCAUCCUUCCCUUCGUCUGUCUGGAUACAGAGCCUCGCAGGUCCUGACCAGGAAUGCAGAGCUGUUGUAAAAUUCACACAUGCUUGUCUACUAAGAGCCUGUGCAUGGGAAAUUUGGUUAGGAAAUAUUUUCCUGCUUCAUCCUUCUCGGAGCUUUACUGGAAUUGUAGCUGAACCAAACUUUUCUGAAAACUCUGAAAUGCUUCAGUAACUUCUGUUUGUUUUCCUCAUGCCUCUCUACUUGGUUUCUGGCAGGGCCUGAAAGCAGCACUGAGUCACUCGGUAAAGAAGCCUAUUUUGACAGCAUCCCCCUGGCCUAAGCAGGAAGUUCUCCAAGUCUGAAGACAUGGAGAGUUCUGGAUCUCGCAUGGUUAAAGCCCAGAUGUGCAAACCCUGAGAGGUGCUUAAGCUUCUGGAAAUGUUUAGACCGUGCAAAACUGGCAGUGCCGAGAGCCUCAUCUGUCACCGGAGUCAACCAAAAAGGUGUCUGCAGCACAAAUCCCCAAUCCUACGGUCACAUUCUUUGAAGUUCUGUUCUCUAACAUGACUAUUUUUAACAAAGGGGAGGGGGACAGUGGGGAGAAGCUCCAUCUUACUCACCAAAUCUGCGGGCUCCCUGUGUUCUGAGUCAUAGCUGCUGGCUGCACUGACAAAAGCAAGCUUUUUUAAUUUGAUUUCUACCCUCAUUGGUACAGUAGAGGGGGCACAGCAAAGACAGGGACAGCAGUAGGAUUGUGCAAGCAUCAACAAGAUGAUAAAUGGAUCCAUCAGUUUUCCUUGCUGGGAAUAAUAAUAAAGAGAAGCCCGAUUUUUCUCCCAGACCUCAGCAGGAGUUUUGCAAGGUAGAAAUCGGGCAUGGGAAGGAAGGAGGUUAGGAGGAAGAGGUGGAAAGUUGUUCAUCAGUAGAAGAGAGAUACAACUAUGAGCAUUCGAUGUACCACCAUCGUUCCUCUGUAUAACACCAUGUCAGUGUUGCUUUACAUAGAAGAGACACUGAAGCAGAUCCCUCCACAAACCAUACAUCUGACAAAUGGGCAUCUCCCAGCAGUGCCUGUGUGUGAUGUGAUGCUAAGGAAGGCGCAGAGGCGGUCACCCCGUGUGAAUCCAACCACCUGCCUGCGUCUUCUGCAAUGAGGAAGGAAGGGAAACAAGUGAAGGAUCGAAAGGGGAAGAGCUGGGUCUCUUGGUAUUCGCUAGCUAUACGGUGCCUGCCAUGAACGAGUCAGCACUUGUUAGCACUUCCUACGUGGUGGGAUGUGGCACACCACACUCCUCACCCCGUGCACAGAAGAGGAAAUUGCUGAUAACUGUGAUAGUUUGUUGUUGGGCUACCUCACUUCGGUUAUCUAAACUGUUAUAAAAUACAUCAAGGUGAAGAAAGGGGCCUUUCAGUUGCAUGCUAAAUAUCACCCUGCUUUCUGUACUCCAACAUUAUCUGUUGCUGCUCUGCACUGUCAAGCUGAGAUCUCACCCCGAAGCAGUUGUGUUUCAGCACUGAAUACAGCAAUUCCUAACAUGUGAAUGGCCGUACGCCUCAUGCUCCCACAGCCAAAAUCUCCAUUAGAGCUUAUUUUAUAGCAGUUCAUACCUUUGUGUUUGCAGAAGACUUUGGGUACCAUCUGGGAAAAAUUGUUCUUUGUUAAAUUCUCCUUUAUUCCCUUUGGGUUAUGUUUUUAAGGCAGGAGAUGCUGAAGGAUGUUCUGAGGACGGUAAAAGCAGCUUGAAAUGAAGAUGUAGGAGGAAAAGUACUCAAGCUGUUUUUCUGCUUUUGCGAUUGAAAGGAAACUCAUGAUAUAGCAAAUUUUCAAUGGCACAAGAAAUUCUGCUGUCUACUUCAACAUGGCACUAUUAGGCCAGCAACAGGGGGAGCAGCUGCUCAGCCAUUGUAUAAUUGACAUCGCUGAUAAUGACCUUGGAUUCAUAAUUAAGGUUCAUGAGGAUCAGAGGAGGAAAAAAAAAAAAAAAAACCCAGCCCUAUCCUUACAAAAAAAAAAAUGAUAUAAACAACUGUGUGAGUGAGCACAUUGGAACACAACUGAGGGCUGAAGAAAUCCUGCCAGUCCCAGGGCCCUGCAGGGGGUGAGAUGUGGGCGCUGGCGCUGGGAGAGUUUCCAGCUCUCUCCUGGUGAUGCUGAGCACUUGACCAGAAGUGCUGACAUUUUAAGAGGAGGUCAGAGAGGCUGGGGUUAGAACACGCUGCUGAAAACAACAAGAAAAAAGAAAGGGAAAAAAAAAGUAUUUUUGCUGGGAAUGAAUGGACAGGUUCAUGGCAGUAACACUGGAUCUGCAGCAAGGCGUGUUGCCUCCCAGUGUAAUCAGUGCCUCAAAAACACAUGCUGGCAUGUGUUGGAUGUCGAUACCUCCUUUAUCAUACAUAUUUGAGAGCUCAGACUUCAACUGCCACCUGAAAUGAGCACUGUGGUUUUCUUUCCCCACUCAGUGGGUUAUUUGGUUAUGAUUCUGUAUCCUUUCCUGAGGCUCUUUAGAGUUCCGUGUAACUUUCAUCCAUUUCUCUUUCUAGCAAAAAUAUAUUUCAGGAAGUUCCAUAAUUGCACAUGUCUAUAUGGUGAGGUUUGGCACAGAAAACCUGGUGUGAGGUUGGCUUUUUUCUUCCCUUUCAACUUACAAUGUUUAAAUAGGGUUCCUACACAGAUUCAAAAAACACAUUCUGCUGGGUCAUGCUGGAGCUUUGAGUCAUAACUUUUGUUAAACAGGGAAGAAAAUCCACCAAGUAUUAUGAUGCAAACAGUCCUUAUGGAGAAUCCCACACUGCUCCUGUGUGCAGAGAAUUUGCCACUCGGUUUCUGUUGUGCAUUUUGAACUACAAACCUGCAGGCAAGUGUGGCAGUGCUCAGAGUUCAGCAGAACUUGAGUACUCUGGGUUUUGUUUGGGUUGUGCUUUAUUAGGCUUUAGGCUAUUAAGGGAGGGGACUCCAAUUUCCUUUAAUAAAUAAUGUUUGCGUGCACUUGGGAAAUGGCAAUCAUGUUUUGCUAACUACUGAAACCUAAUGCAUGAGAAAUGUAAAGCUGGAUGAGCACCGUUUUAUUCCAGAGUUUGAGUUGCAUUCUUGGAUGGGGUUACAAGCCUUUUUGACUGUGGGGUAGGAGCUCUGAAGCGAUGCCUUUCAGAGCUGCCUCGAAACACCACUAAAUGACUGCUUUCAUGAGACUCAUUCUUAAUCAGGAGGCGCCUGGUACCUUAUGGAAGAUGGAUCCUGUCAAGCCAGACUUGGGAUUAUUUGUGAUGAAAUUAAAAAUAUGGUCAAUAAGAUACUUGUGGUUUGAGACUCAUGAAAAAUAUUUGUCUUGGUACUCAAAAUACUUAAACUAGAAUGAUUCAAAAUCAAUGUGGAAGAGUAAAAGGAUUAAACUGGCUUGGAAACACAUCCCAAAAGGUAAUUGUAAACAGGAAAUCAGAAUGGAGUGGGUGUAUUUCUCGUGGGGUCUCCAAGAUUGUUUUGUAGCUCUAAAUGACCGAAUGUUUUACAAAUGGCCAAGCAGAAAACAGCAGUCAGGCACCAGCGUGGCACAUGACACGAGGCCUGGUCAGGGGCUGCUUGGUGAGCUGAACAGGUGAAGCACCAC
ensembl:lncRNA